rfam:Triticum aestivum genome assembly, contig: Triticum_aestivum_CS42_TGACv1_scaffold_031573_1BL
CAACUACUCCCUCUAUCCCAAAUUUCGUGUCUUAGAUUUGUCUAGAUACGGAUGUAUAUAAUACUAAAAUGUGACUUGAUACAUCCAUAUCUAGACUUAUACAUCCGUAUCUAGACAAAUCUAAGAAAAGAAUUUUAGGACGGAGGGAGUACUUU